AGUCGUGAGCGUGCUAAGGUAGUGUAAUAAAUAGCCUCUCAAUUGGAGGCCAGUGAAUGGCAAGACUAGGAACACCUAUACCUUUUAUUUCAAAAAAACUUUUCAUCUGAGUGAAAAGACUCAGAUAAUAAAGGAAGACGAAAAGACCCCGCGGAACUUUACCUUCUCUUACAUUUCUGCUAAGGAGCACAAAAGUGUAAAAGGUUUGAUUGGGGCAAUCUCGGAACCUCACAAGCUUCCGAUUCUUAAAAAAAGAAAUCCAAAACUUAAUGCGGAUCAAAAUAGAAGUUACCCCGGGGAUAACAGCGUUAUCCAACUCAAGAGUACACAUCGAAAGUUGGGUUUGCGACCUCGAUGUUGGCUUAAGGAAAUCCACAUUAGUGCAACCGCUAUGAAAGGACAGUCUGUUCGACUAUUAUACCCUUACACGAGCUGAGUUAAGAACCGA
rnacentral:rRNA from 1 species